rnacentral:rRNA from 1 species
AUUGAACGCUGGCGGCAGGCCUAACACAUGCAAGUAGAACGAGUGGCGGACGGGUGAGUAAUGUCUGGGAAACUGCCUGAUGGAGGGGGAUCACUACUGGAAACGGUAGCUAAUAGCGCAUAGCAUCAGCUGUGCCCAGAUGGGAUUAGCUUGUUGGUGGGGUAACGGGUCACCAAGGCGACGAUCCCUAGCUGGUCUGAGAGGAUGACCAUCCAAGCUGGAACUGAGACACGGGCCAUACUCAUACGGGAGGCAGCAAUGGGUAAGAGGGCACAAGGGGCGCAAGCAUGAUGCAGCCAUGCCGCGGGUAUAAAGGAGGCCUUCGGGUUGUAAAGUACUUUCAGCGGGGAGGCGUUACCCGCAGAAGAAGCACCUGCUAACGCCGUGCCAGCCGCCGCGGUAAUUC